CGGGGCGUAGCGCAGCCUGGUAGCGUACCUGGAUGGGGUCCAGGGGGUCGAAGGUUCGAAUCCUUCCGUCCCGACCA
rnacentral:tRNA from 1 species